AACGAACGCUGGCGGCAUGCCUAACACAUGCAAGUCGAACGGGCAGGGGCAACCCUGUCAGUGGCGGACGGGUGAGUAACGCGUGGGAACCUGCCUCGAAGUUCGGAAUAACCGCGGGAAACUGCGGCUAAUACCGGAUGUGGCCUGCGGGCCAAAGGGGAAACUCGCCUCGAGAGGGGCCCGCGUCCGACUAGCUAGUUGGUGAGGUAACGGCUCACCAAGGCGACGAUCGGUAGCUGGUCUGAGAGGAUGAUCAGCCACACUGGGACUGCGACACGGCCCAGACUCCUACGGGAGGCAGCAGUGGGGAAUAUUGGACAAUGGGGGCAACCCUGAUCCAGCAAUGCCGCGUGAGUGAUGAAGGCCUUCGGGUUGUAAAGCUCUUUUGGCGGGGACGAUGAUGACGGUACCCGCAGAAUAAGCCCCGGCUAACUUCGUGCCAGCAGCCGCCGUAACAC
rnacentral:rRNA from 1 species